UUUUCAGUCUCGUGUGUGUUUAACUGUAUUUAAUAUAUAUUUUUGCUCUUCUCUCGUUUUCUUUACGAAUGAACCUGCCCUUCCGCCUGGCGCGCCCCAAACCUCCCCCGCAUCGCAGGCACCCGGCCGGGUGCAGGCGAGCGCACGCAGGCGGUUGAAGACGCCGGUCCUGGUGCCGCUGGGAUGCGCGGGGCCGCGGGGAGACGACGACGAGGGAGCCGGGCCUCCAGCUCAAGGUCUGCCGGAGCCACUAACCCUGUGGAUCUAACGCGCAGCCGGUGUCUCGGCUCCCCAUCUUGCCGCCACUCUGCACCGGGGUGGGUUUCUUUUCAGGAAGGCCCUUCCCGAAGGAAGUCUGAGGCUUUUGAGGACGAUUUGCCAGGGCAGGCCCUUUAAUGGAGCGAGAUGUGUGGCCCCAGCCUCAGCUCCUCAUGCUUCCAAGAGCAACACUGAGAGGUGUGGACCAGUGGGAGUGAGUGGCAGGCCCUCCAGCAGCUGUUGGGCACCUGAGCCCCCCACAAGCCCAUUCCUGAUCCUUCUCUCAUCUCAAAAUCGGGCCUGAUGGCACCUGUAUCACAUCUUGGAAGCACCAGAGACAAGAAUCACAGAGAAAGCUUAUGGCCGCACCCUGCUGCUCUGCCAAGCACCGGGCCCGAGCCAUGGCCGCAUGAAUACUCUCAUUUGAGGGCACUGAAUCCACAGGUGACGUUCACAUCCAUGCGGGCAAGCCAGACAAUUAAGCGUCGCCCUGAGACACACCCCUUUCCUUCGGCAGCCACCUCCAUGGGGUCAGCAACCCCUGCCAAGCUUACCCCUGAACAGCCACCAGCAAAUCUACUGCUCGCUGUCUCCUGCUGUCCUGGAUCACGGCGACAGCCUCCUGGUUUGUAUGCCUUAGCCCCCUGCAGACUUAGACAUAAAUACACGUGUGUGUGUGUGUGUGUGUGUGUGUGUGUAUUUCAUUCUCUUCCAUAUUUAUUACUUCAUGAGGCAUAUGGAAUAACAUGAGGCAUAGGUAAGGCUUAAGGAUUCAAGAUCAGACCAACACUGAUGGACUCACGGUGUAAGGUCAAGGGUUGGAACAUCGAGUCUCUCUGAUCUCAACCCUCUUUCCCACAGGUAACGACGCUACUGAAUCUGGGAUUAGCCACCCUUUGUCUUCCGAGUGAGUACUCCCUGAACCAUAUGUAGUUCAAGGUGGGAAGUUAUAGUGCAUUUAUUUCUGAAAGUUGCAAUUUCCCCCUCCUAGUUGUGUCUAGAGAUUCACACACACACACACACACACACACACACACACACACACACAGGAAUAUUAUACAGCAAUAAAAAUGAAUGACAAUAAAAUUACCCUACUCA
rnacentral:lncRNA from 1 species